UUUGGCUCGCUAUGUAUUCCCUCCAAACAAUUAGGUACUCUUUCAGCCAAAAAAUAGUUUUCCCUAGAAAACUAAUUAACCUUUCAACCAAUGUCCGAUGAACAACCUAGACUUUUUCUGCGACAAGCUCUUCGCUCACUGUCCCUUUCCAACGACUGCAGGAUAUGAGAUUUGUAAUGUUAGAAUCAUAAAGAAGUUGGAGGGGUACUUAUGAAAGACGAGCUAGACAUGAACGUUCAUCAACAAUGUUGAUAAACUCCAUGUUAAUAGUAGAGGGGUUGGUCCAUUAUCCAUCGAGCUAUUUUUAACAAGUUGAUUACUGAAAACUGUUAUAGUGAUUAGGGGAAAAUUGCACCAGCUGGUGAAUUGACGGCAUCGAUAUUUGUUCUCCAUGACACUUGAAGGACUUCAUUUUGAUCAGAAGUUGAGGCAAAUGUUUGUGGACUAUCUACGGUGUUGAAUUAAGACAAUUUGAUGACAUUAGUUAUUUGAUGACAUUAGUGGUUGUUUUGUUUAUUGUA